CGGGAAUUUUGCGCAAUGGACGGAAGUCUGACGCAGCAACGCCGCGUGAAGGAUGACGGCCUUCGGGUUGUAAACUUCUGUUGGAUGGGAAAAAAAGCCUAGGAAUAGGAAUUGAUGGUACCAUUCGAGUAAGCACCGGCUAACUACGUGCCAGCAGCCGCGGUAAUACGUAGGGUGCGAGCGUUGUUCGGAAUCACUGGGCGUAAAGGGAGCGUAGGCGGGAUCGUAAGUUAGGAGUUUAAUACAUGGGCUCAACCCGUGAUAUGCUUUUAAUACUGCGGUUCUUGAGUAUGGGAGAGGGUGAUGGAAUUCCAGGUGUAGCGGUGGAAUGCGUAGAUAUCUGGAAGAACACCAGUAGCGAAGGCGGUCACCUGGCCCAAUACUGACGCUGAGGCUCGAAAGCUGGGGGAGCAAAC
rnacentral:rRNA from 1 species